rnacentral:rRNA from 1 species
UACGUAGGGUGCAAGCGUUACUCGGAAUUACUGGGCGUAAAGCGUGCGCAGGCGGUGAUGUAAGACAGGUGUGAAAACUCCAGGCUCAACCUGGAGACGCCACCUCAUACUGCGGUGGCUAGAGUCCGGUAGGGGAGCAUGGAAUUCCUGGUGUAGCGGUGAAAUGCGCAGAUAUCAGGAGGAACACCAGUGGCGAAGGCGGUGCUCUGGGCCGGUACUGACGCUGAGGAGCGAAAGCAUGGGGAGCGAACAGG